GCUUACGGCCACACCGCCUGGUUCACGCCCGAUCUCGUUUGAUCUCGGAAGCUAAGAUAGGUUGGGCCUGGUUAGUACUUGGAUGGGAGACCGCCUAGGAAUACCAGGUGCUGUAAACC
ensembl:rRNA 5S_rRNA 5S ribosomal RNA